rnacentral:lncRNA from 1 species
UAAUAUAUAUGCUCUAAAGAAAAAUGGGAGAUCGGGCAUAAUAAAUGUAAUUAAAAGCCUACAUUUUAUCUACAAAUUCUAAGAUUUGUCGUAACUCAUAAUUUAGGUUUACUUGAAAUGCAGAUUAAAAGAUCGAUCUUCAUCUUUCUGAUAUCACACUCAAUAUAAACAUAUUAGUGGUAUGUUUGUACUAGUGUUACACACACCGUUGUGACACUAUUAAAUGAAUAUCAUGUAAUAGAUUUCAACGUUAAUUUUUUAUUAUUUUUUGUAAACUUAACCUUCACAAUUAGAUGAAGCCCUAAUAGUAUUCGAAACACUCAAAUUUCUCUCUGCACCUCAUAAUUUCCAUGUGUUCUUCAUGAGCGGUUAAAUGACACAAAUAUCAUUAAUGUAUAAUAUAUAUUUUUAAUCUAUUUUUUCUUUCUUUUCCCUUCUUAACUUUGUCUUUUCCCUUUUAUGUGGUCGUUGUUCUUUCCUCCAUGCCAGUGUUGCAAACCCAGUAUUACCACACAUAUUCUCGCUAUUAGGAAUUGUCUCCACCACUCAAUUCCCUGCCGGUGUUAUCAUAAAGGAAUAAGGUUUGUUUUCAAAAACUUCCUUUGCUGAUGUGUUAGUUAUAUUCUCGGAUGACUAUUCCAAAAAAAAAAAUUAAUUAUUUGUUAUUGUUGUGCAAUAUCAAUUAUAGAUAACUUACAAUGGAUUGGUAUCUACUUUAUAGAGAAGUGGCACAAGAUACCAAUAGUUUCUAUUUUCUUAUAGUUGAAAUGAUGAUCACACUGAUGAUGUUUCGACACUGUUUCAUAUUCCUAUUGUGGGAUAGUUCUACAUAUACUUCACGUUGGAUGCGACUAUAAUUACAACAAUAUUGGUUGAAUUGCUAGGCGUGCACAUAGGUGAUGUUAUGAUAAAGAUGAGACAUUGUUAUGGUGCACACAAGGUCUUGUUUGGCUUUGUAAGGUUAUAAGGAGUGUUGUGUUCACCAUAGAUGAGAUUGUAAUGGCUCAUUUUUGCAUCUUACGAGAUGUACAAUUUUUGUUAACAAAAAGUGUAACAUAAAUUAGUGUGUCAUACUUGGGUAUCUUUAGUGAUUUAUAGAUGUGUGAAGAAUAUUCCUGGGGAGUUGACGCAUUGAAACACAUGUAUGAUUGACUAAGAGAUACUAAUUUUACCAGUAUGUAACAUUUUUACAAGUAAAUAAAUUAUUAAUUUCUUAAAGUUACAUUUGUUUUCAUGUCCUUUUUGUAA